CACGUAGGGGGCAAGCGUUGUCCGGAUUUACUGGGCGUAAAGAGCUCGUAGGCGGUUCGAUAAGUCGGGUGUGAAAACUCUGGGCUCAACCCAGAGACGCCACCCGAUACUGUCGUGACUAGAGUCCGGUAGAGGAGUGUGGAAUUCCCGGUGUAGCGGUGAAAUGCGCAGAUAUCGGGAGGAACACCAGUGGCGAAGGCGGCACUCUGGGCCGGAACUGACGCUGAGGAGCGAAAGCGUGGGUAGCAAACAGG
rnacentral:rRNA from 2 species